UACUCUAAAACUCUAAGACAAGCAAGGGAGCAUCUGGGCCACUUCCUUGCUACAUUUCAUCUUGAGCAGCCUCCUGCUCUCAGACGACUGACACAAUUCCCUUUUGUAUGUAUGUACAUAUAUAAUUUGUGAUAAAAACCUGGUAGAACAAGAUGAUCUAAUAAUGUUUAAACUGUAGUGUAGGCAGUAAAUAAGACUAUUUAGGCAAGGAAGUUCCAUAACAUUGUUCUGUCACUGAAUAGUCUCCAUGGUAGUCACUUGACUCCUACCACCUACUAAGAGGUGGCAUGCAGGGAGAACAUCUGAGGGUACUGAUAGAUAUAGCAGAAAGGAGACAAUCUGGGUCACCUGCCCCUAAGCUGCUGAAAAAAUUAUAUUCCAGAGUAAAAGGGAUGUGUUAUGUCACUGAAAAGCAACCACAGGAUUUGCGUCAAACCUGAUUCAGUGAUACAGAAAAUGGCCCUCUGUUUGUACUGAUUCUAAUCCAUGCCGACAUACAGAAAUCCAGACUGCCAUUCCUCCUAUCAUCUGUAACCCCAAAAUACCCAGAGGUUAUUGUCAAAGCCUCUGAAAUCCACUUACAACCCAUGGACAAUCUGAUUCUGCAGGACACCAUGCACCAACGACGACAGCAUCAGGCAUGAGAACCUAGUGUCAUCUUCUGAAACUGCCCCCUCAAUCUGAAGACUGGAAACAAGAUGGUCCAAGCCUGUCCUCUUUGUGUAGCUGAGAAGUUCAUAGUGGCCAACAGUGUCAAAUACCAGUGGAAGACCUAGCAGAAUUAAGAGGAUGUUACACAUUUCAUGCGUAGCAUACACUGUCUACAAUAGCAGCCCAGCUCUCUCAGCAGCAAAACAAGACAUGAAACUGGUUUGAAAUAGGUUUAGACAAUCUAUUCAUCUGAGAACUCUGGAGCCAAGCUGUGACAUCAUAUUCAAGAACUUUGUUUUAAAAACGGCAAGUGUGAGACUGAUCAGAAAUUAUCCAGCAUAGUGAGAUCCAGAAAGAGUUUAUUCAGCAGAGAUAAGAAACCUUCUAUUAGCUGAGCUAUAUAUAUUCUAUACAGUUCUGUGAUCCAUUGGCACUAUAUGUGUUUAUCAUUGCCCUUCUCCACAAGAGUUUCUUGGGGUGCCUUAACCAGCAGUAAUGGGUAUGGAUCACGUGUACAUUGUUCUUAAAAGUAACAAAGAAUGGACGGGGCAUUGUUCCAUUUUUUGUGUGACUUCUGACUUUUAGAAACCCAACAUAUUGAAAAGA
rnacentral:lncRNA from 1 species